rnacentral:rRNA from 1 species
AUGUCGUCGAUGUCGUCCAAGCCGAAGAGAGCAGGCGGCCUCCAGGGCCCGAGGCCGCAGCCGCUGAGCCUGUCGGCACGGCCGUCGAAGAAGCCGCGCGUCGGCGGCCACGCCGGACCAGCUGCCGGGCCCGUGAUCGUGUACGAGCGCACGCCGAGGGUCGUCCACGCCGACCCACACGAGUUCAUGGCCAUCGUGCAGAGGCUCACGGGCAAUUGCAAGAAGCAGUCGUCGACCGGAGCUCGGGACGGCAGGGCCUCGACGUUGACCGCCGCAGACGCCUUGGUUCUCACGCUUGGCCAGCAGCAGCGUGCGCCGUGUGGUGCUCAUCAUCCGGCACCUCCUGAUUCCCCGGCUGCCGCAUCACCGCUGCUGUCCCCGAGCAGCUUCUUCUUCUCCCCGACCACCAUGCAGGCGAUACGGGAGCUCAUCAGCUGA